rnacentral:piRNA from 1 species
GGCAUUGAUUGGAUGCAAGGUCUCCACACU